rnacentral:rRNA from 1 species
CAAUAGCGUAUAUUAAAGUUGUUGCAGUUAAAAAGCUCGUAGUUGGAUUUCUGGCAGGAGCGACCGGUCGCGCACUCUGUGCGUGAACUUGUGUUGUCUCUGGCCAUCCUCGGGGAGAUCCUGUUUGGCAUUAAGUUGUCGGGCAGGGGAUACCCGUCGUUUACUGUGAAAAAUUAGAGUGUUUAAAGCAGGCUUUUGCUAUGAAUACAUUAGCAUGGAAUAAUGGAAUAGGACUAUGGUCUCUUUGUUGGUUUGAGGGACUGCAGUAAUGAUUAAUAGGGAUAGUUGGGGGCAUUAGUAUUUAAUUGUCAGAGGUGGAAUUCUCAGAUUUGUUAAAGACUAACUUAUGCGAAAGCAUUUGCCAAGGAUGUUUUCAUUAAUCAAGAACGAAAGUUAGGGGAUCAAAGAUGAUCAGAUACCAU